GGAGGAAUGGCCGAGUGGCUUAAGGCACACGCUUGCUAAGCGUGCGAGGGGGAAACCCCUCCGAAGGUUCAAAUCCUUCUUCCUCCGCAA
rnacentral:tRNA from 1 species